GAUGAAGAACGCAGCGAAAUGCGAUAAGUAAUGUGAAUUGCAGAAUUCAGUGAAUCAUUGAAUCUUUGAACGCACAUUGCGCCCCUUGGUAUUCCGAGGGGCAUGCCUAUUCGAGCGUCAUUAUCACCCCUCAAGCUCCGGCUUGGUGUUGAGGCCUGCUGUAAAGGCACCCUCUAAAAUCAGUGGCAGUGCUGUCAGGCUCUAAGCGUAGUAAUUCUCUCGCUACAGGGUCCCGGUGGACACUCGCCAGAACCCCCCCAUUUUUUAAUGAUUGACCUCGGAUUAGGUAGGGAUACCCGCUGAACUUAAGCAUAUCAAUAAGCGGAGGA
rnacentral:misc_RNA from 1 species